rnacentral:rRNA from 1 species
AACGAACGCUGGCGGCAGGCUUAACACAUGCAAGUCGAACGCCCCGCAAGGGGAGUGGCAGACGGGUGAGUAACGCGUGGGAACAUACCCUUUCCUGAGGAAUAGCUCUGGGAAACUGGAAUUAAUACCGCAUACGCCCUACGGGGGAAAGAUUUAUCGGGGAAGGAUUGGCCCGCGUUGGGUUAGCUAGUUGGUGGGGUAAAGGCCUACCAAGGCGACGAUCCAUAGCUGGUCUGAGAGGAUGAUCAGCCACAUUGGGACUGAGACACGGCCCAAACUCCUACGGGAGGCAGCAGUGGGGAAUAUUGGAUAAUGGGCGCAAGCCUGAUCCAGCCAUGCCGCGUGAGUGAUGAAGGCCUUAGGGUUGUAAAGCUCUUUCACCGAUGAAGAUAAUGACGGUAGUCGGAGAAGAAGCCCCGGCUAACUUCGUGCCAGCCGCCGCCGUAACAC